CUGUGUGCACCAUGGCCUGGACUCCUCUCCUCCUCGUGCUCCUCUCUCACUGCACAGGUUCCCUCUCCCAGCCUGUGCUGACUCAGCCGCCCUCCCUGUCUGCAUCUCCGGGAGCCCCAGCCAGACUCACCUGCACCCUGAGCAGUGGCUUCAGUGUUGGCAGCUAUGCUAUAUUCUGGUACCAGCAGAAGCCAGGAGGUCCUCCCCGGUAUCUGCUGUCCUACCACACAGACUCAAACAAGCAUCAGGGCUCCGGGAUCUCCAGUCGCUUCUCUGGAUCCAAAGACUCCUCAGCCAAUGCAGGGCUCCUGACCAUCUCUGGGCUGCAGGCUGAGGACGAGGCCGACUAUUACUGUGGUAUAGGUCAUGGCAGUGGGAGCAGCUACAGUUACUCACAGUGGCUCAGAUGACGAGGAAGUGAGACA